CCUACGGGAGGCAUCCGUAUUUCCUUUUCUUCAAUUUUUUUCCCCCUUACCGAGCAACGCCGCGUGAAGGAAGAAGGAAUUCGUUCUGUAAACUUCUGUUAUAAAGGAAGAAAGACGGAUGGAGGAAAUGACAUCCGAGUGACGGUACUUUAUGAGAAAGCCACGGCUAACUACGUGCCAGCAGCCGCGGUAAUACGUAGGUGGCAAGCGUUAUCCGGAAUUAUUGGGCGUAAAGAGGGAGCAGGCGGCAGCAAAGGUCUGUGGUGAAAGACUGAAGCUUAACUUCAGUAAGCCAUAGAAACCGG
rnacentral:rRNA from 1 species